rnacentral:rRNA from 1 species
GUGGGGAAUAUUGGGCAAUGGGCGCAAGCCUGACCCAGCAACGCCGCGUGAAGGAAGAAGGCUUUCGGGUUGUAAACUUCUUUUACCAGGGACGAAACAAAUGACGGUACCUGGUGAAUAAGCCACGGCUAACUACGUGCCAGCAGCCGCGGUAAUACGUAGGUGGCGCGCGUUAUCCGGAUUUAUUGGGUGUAAAGGGCGUGUAGGCGGGACAGCAAGUCAGAUGUGAAAACCAGAGGCUCAACCUCUGGCCUGCAUUUGAAACUGUUGUUCUUGAGUGUCGGAGAGGUAAUCGGAAUUCCGUGUGUAGCGGUGAAAUGCGUAGAUAUAGGGAGGAACACCAGUGGCGAAGGCGGCUUUCUGGACGGUGUCUGACACUGAGGCGCGAAAGCCAGGGGAGCGAACGGGAUUAGAAACCCUUGUAGUCC